rnacentral:rRNA from 1 species
UACGUAGGGUGCAAGCGUUAAUCGGAAUUACUGGGCGUAAAGCGUGCGCAGGCGGUUGUGCAAGACCGAUGUGAAAUCCCCGGGCUUAACCUGGGAAUGGCGUUUGAAACUACGGAGCUGGAGUAUGGCAGAGGGGGGUGGAAUUCCACGUGUAGCGGUGAAAUGCGUAGAUAUGUGGAGGAACACCGAUGGCGAAGGCAGCCCCCUGGGCCAAUACUGACGCUCAUGCACGAAAGCGUGGGGAGCAAACAGG